rnacentral:rRNA from 1 species
GAUGAACGCUGGCGGCGUGCCUAAUACAUGCAAGUCGAGCGAACGGACGAGAAGAUUGCUUCUCUGAUGUUAGCGGCGGACGGGCGAGUAAGACGUGGAUAACCAACCUAUAAGACUGGGAUAAUUUCGGGAAACCGGAGCUAAUAACGGACAAUAUUUUGAACCGCAUGGUUCAAAAGUGAAAGACGGUCUUGCUGUCACUUAUAGAUGGAGCCGCGCUGCAUUAGCUAGUUGGUAAGGUAACGGCUUACCAAGGCAACGAUGCAUAGCCGACCUGAGAGGGUGAUCGGCCACACUGGAACUGAGACACGGUCCAGACUCCUACGGGAGGCAGCAGUAGGGAAUCUUCCGCAAUGGGCGAAAGCCUGACGGAGCAACGCCGCGUGAGUGAUGAAGGUCUUCGGAUCGUAAAACUCUGUUAUUAGGGAAGAACAUAUGUGUAAGUAACUGUGCACAUCUUGACGGUACCUAAUCAGAAAGCCACGGCUAACUACGUG